UUUUGAUUCGGAGGGUCAGCACGUCCGAGCGAACUCCGAGAAAAAGAUCUAGGAGCGUCUCCAACCCAAUUGCUGGUCCCUCGUUUAGAACGAAUUCUUGUUCGCCGGAAACGGUGGUGGACUGGCUAGGCAAAGAGAUCGAACCUGGUGGUCCCCAAAUGGACCACGCGGUCCAAACGACGGACCUGCCGUUCCAUGAGCCGAGCACGCCGGACGACUGGUUGACGUCGACGCUGGGUCAGGUGGUGCAGACACCAGGUCCUUCAACUAGGAGAUGUAGCCUGGAGCAAAGCAGGAGCGACGAGUCGAAAAUUCGACGUCACCUCGGAUCCCUGGCCACUUUCUUCAUCUCGAGGAGACGGGGUUCAGACCAUUCGACUGUUUCGGACAGCUCAGAGCCGGGCUCCAUGGCUUUGGCGCACGAUAUUACUCCUACGAAAACGAGGAUGACGCCUCCUGUCUCGUUUCGCACAUUUACCCGUCCGGCCAGGCCUCGUCACCGGAACUUCCGGCCCAUAGCCCCGUCACACCCUCCAAGUAGCAUUUUUCAACGGAGAAAUCUCGACAUUUUGAAACUGAGUUGUGAUCCUUCCACGAUUUUUUAGCGAUGAAAUCGCUAGGGUCAUCAACAUCUGAGCAGAUUCGAAGAGGAUUCGAACUCCAGCGGGCUGAUUGUUGAUAUUGAUAGACAGAGCGAUAGACAAAAGAAGACUUAAGAACUACGGAGCGCCUAUUGGUCGUGGACUAACCAUAGGGUUUCUUGGGGGUUGCGGGUUGCCAUCAGUGAGCCUAUUAUCUACCCCCUUAGUCCAUUGCAACCACCCGCUUCUACCAAUGGGAUCUCUCAAUAUCCCUUUUGUUUUUUUUGUCUAUGGCUUUGUCCAUCAAUUUCAACAAUCAGCCCGCAGAGCUGUCUAAGGCGCCGCGCCGGAUGCGAGAAUGAUCGGAGCGCCUUCAUUUUUCCGGCUAUGCAACAAUGACAUCUAUUAGGCACGAAUAGUUGCAUCCGGGCGUUUCCAUGAAAGACCAGGCCGUAUCUGACAAUGAGUUACCUAUUGUAACUGCAGCUGACUUGUUUUAAUUUCGUUUAUUAUGAAAUGCAAUUAUCUAUCUGUUUUAAUCCUGGGUACAACGCUGUAUUACGCGGUGCGACCCGCCAUAAAUGUAGGCUGUGCUAUUGAAAAAAAAAAUGAGCCAUAACAUUUGUUUUCUCUUGAUAAAAGACAUUAAAGAUAAACACAAUGAUAAUGUUAAUGCACUUACGUUGGCGUGCGCUUAUAUUGUAACUUGCAUACCUAGAAUUAAAGUUUACUGUCGUUCAUGAUAGGCCGUAUUUUGCGAAAAAGGCCUGCCGUUGCAUACGAGAAUAGAGGAGGCCGUAACUACGAUUCUAUGACGUCACGCUAGUAGGUAAAACUCGACCGCGAUUAACUAUACUCAUAAUCAACAGAGCUUUUAAAUUAAUUAAGCUUUAAUUAUGAGAAAGGUUUGAUAUACGGAAAGAAAUCACUGCCUGAGCGGUUCAUGAUGAAGUCUCGUGUGGGGACGAGCACGCUUGAAAAACGUGAGAUAUGACAUGCGAGUCGAUUCGAUCGGUUUGAGACAGCUUAUUAUGGAGAUUAAUUUCGAUCAACUGGUGUAUUACACGUAUGUGCCAAUUAAGUGCUGCUUCUGAUGUAUUGCUUGCGACUAGUAAUAAGGGAAAUAUGUUUGUCUCUGCUGGAUAAAUAAACCUAAAAUGAGGAGCUAGGAGGACAAGGUGCAUAAGUGCAAUUUUUGAAUAAAUUGAGAUAUUAAUGAUUUCACGUAAAACUAAUCCUAAGGCAUAACUUGUGAAAAUUCGCUCCCAAAUUCCAAUUUUUAAGCAUCAAAAAGUCAGUUUGAACAUUCUUUCCGCCUUUAGGAUCCAUCUAAUUUCGAAACUUCAAACACGUAUUUCUCGAAAUACAAAUAGUAAAAACUGUAUUGAUGCGCCUUGUCCUCCAAGCACCUCAAAUAAGUUUGUAAUUGGACCGGGCAUGGUAACAAACUAGCGAUGAUUUAUUUGGUUAAUUCAUGCUUUUCAACUCUUUUUUGGUGUACUUCAAAUUAACAUCGAUCUAAGUAAGAUGUUAAAAAUUUGCCAAGACUGAAGAGAGGAAAUGAAAAAAAAUUAAAUAAAUAAGUACAUGCAAAAAAAAGAGUAACAAAUAAGUAAUUCUAGAGAAAGCAAAAUACGUUUGAUCCAUGUCAUUACGCUAUAUACUGCCUUGCACGGUCGGAUAAUUUUUAAAAAAAAUAUCACGCAUAAAUAAAAUUGAAAACUGAAAGAUCAUUGUUUAUUCAUAACUGGAUCCGCAGUUAAUAUUGAUGACAGAACUGUCUCUGGUCACUAGGCUUACCUAAUUGUACUUUCACCAAGUCGUAGGUACGCAAGUACAUGAUUUGUUGAGAACCAUAAAUUACCAUUCGCAACGCAAGAAAUUUCAAUGUUACGAACUUCUUGUUUUUAAAAAUUCUGUGAUAAUGUACGUUGUACUAAAUUUAAGUUGUACCUAGUGUUAAGUGAUUAUUUUAAUAUAUUUUUUUUGUUACGUAUGAAGGGCCAACUUCGUUCGAUUGAAAACACUGGAACCAACAAGGUUUCUCUGUGUUCAUGAGUGAAAAUUAUUUCGGAGCACCUGUACCUCAAAAUAUAUUUUAUACAUUAAAAUAUUUGUAUAAUAUUAUCAUAAAGAGCAGGAUAAAUUAAUGUAAUAACUAACGUUCUAUGUGCAAUAUGCGUCUCCAGUCCACUGUUCAGGGAUAUGUAUACUUACGACACAGAGAUUUAUGAAGUACAUAGUCUUUUUAGUCCUCUUUUCAAACUAUUUAAGACGUUGAAAAAUAAAGAUGUAAUUACAUGUUAGUUUUGUUUCGUAACAUUCCCUCUUUUUUCAUUACGGAGUACGCUUUAGGACCGGGGGUAAUGAACUAAAAAUAUUUUUUCGUUCAUAGUUAUAACAUUCGUAAA
rnacentral:lncRNA from 1 species